GGCAGCUUGGCCGAGUGGUUAAGGCGAUAGACUAGAAAUCUAUUGGGGUAACCCGCGUGAGCUCAAAUCUCACAGCUGUCG
rnacentral:tRNA from 1 species